rnacentral:pre_miRNA from 1 species
UUAUGAAUCACUCUGGAUCCUGUUAAAAUGCAGAUUCUGAAUCACUGAGUCUGGGGAAGGAGCUGAGAGUCUGCAUUUCUAACCAGCUCCCAAGUGAUGCUGGU